UCCGGUUUGGCACCGGCAGUCUCCGCAGAGUGCCCAGCGUAACCUGAUGGCAACAGCGGACAAGGGUUGCGCUCGUUGCGGGACUUAACCCAACAUCUCACGACACGAGCUGACGACAGCCAUGCAGCACCUGUCACCGGUCCAGCCGAACUGAAGGGAUCCAUCUCUGGUUCCCGCGACCGGGAUGUCAAGGGCUGGUAAGGUUCUUCGCGUUGCUUCGAAUUGAACCACAUGCUCCACCGCUUGUGCGGGCCCCCGUCAAUUCCUUUGAGUUUCAGUCUUGCGACCGUACUCCCCAGGCGGCGAACUUAACGCGUUAGCUUCGACACUGAGAGCCUAGUUGCUCCCAACGUCCAGUUCGCAUCGUUUAGGGCGUGGACUAC
rnacentral:misc_RNA from 1 species